GCUGCUGGGUGCUGGCUGCCACUUCUAGCGAUAUUUCCCUUUUUAGGUUGUUAAGAAAAGAAACUUAAGACUGCUUUGCUCUUCUUAUGAAUGUCGUAUGAAACUUAUGUUUGUUACUUAGACUAUGUUAAGUAGAGAGGAAACAAACAAACUGCCAUUUUAUUAUUUAAGAUUGAAUUCUGUUGGGUUGGGAUUGGGGCAAAAGUGCAUCAACACAUUUUUGAGAAAUCAGCAAGUUUUUGUGUUGGAUCUUGGAUGUUAAUGAGGAAAUUGAUGGCUCAUAAUUGCAACUAUUACCUCAAAUGCCCAAUAACUGACAGAAUCAAUUUGAUUCUAUUCACAUCCGCUGCUUCAAAAAAUGUGUAUAUCGUUAGUAAGGACCAAUAAAUGUAGAAUGCAUCACAUGUUGUUCAUUGUUACAUCACCAUGUACGCAAAUAUUAAAAAACAGGACACUCAACCCAAGCCAACUCGACAAGUUUUAUUUCAUCUCAAAAGAGUCUGAAUAUUGCUCAAAUUUAUGAUAUAUUGGUGAAUAUAUAUAUGACUCAAACUCAAACGUCAACCUGCAAAAGGAAAGGCCAGUUUGCAUGGCCUCGACGCUCGAAGGUCACGGAGAUCAUUACGUAAAACGUGUCAUGCAGCGGUGUAGAGGUUGGGUGAGAACGGGACGUACUAUCAAGCAGGUAAAAUAGCCGCAAGGCUCAGGAGGUGAGGGUGAGAAAAAAAGGCGAAGGAAAAUUAGUCGAGGAGCAUCUCCGACACGGUAACAACUGCUGUACAGUAUUGGUCACCAACUUCCUUCAUCGCAUUGCCACUUCGCCAUUAUGGUUUGCUAUGGCGUCGUGCUGCUGUUGGGUGUUGUAUCGUUGAUGGCUGGGUCGACGAUGUUUCCAGGAUAUGGUGGAUACCAAACCGCAACGCCGCCGCCUUACGUCCCGAAGUAUAACUCUGCUUAGAGCUGCAUCACUAAAGAGCCAAAGUACUGCACCGAGGCUCCCAAUUACUACACCACUAAGGCAUAGGAACGACUACGUAUGCUGCCCAUGUCAACUACACCGAAGCGCCUAAGUACUACACUACAACCUACGCUACCCCGAGCUGCUACACCGUCGCCCCGAAGUAAUACUCUGCGUAAAAGAAUUCGUAUAAAAGGAGUGAGAAAAGGUGGUCGAAAUCAAUCGAGUGACGAUCUCCGACACGGAAACAAUUGCAGUGCACUAUCUGUCAUCAAUUACAUUCCUCAUCGUGUAACCAGUUCGUAAUUAUGGUUAACUAUAGCUUCGUGCUGCUGUUGGGUGUUGUAACGUUGUUGGCUGGGACGAACACUGGUGUACCGACGUUUCCAGGAUAUGGCGGAUACCAAACCGCAGUGCCGCCACCUUACUAGACAACUUACGAGUUGGUAACUGCUGCAACGACCAGUUGCGACCGAGGCCCCCAAGUUCUACACCAUUAAGGCACCGGAGUUUUAUACCACAACUAACGCUGCCCCGAGCUACUACACCGACGCCCCGAAGUAUUAAUACUCUGCCGCGACUUUUCAGUCAGAUUUUCAGAGCCUGAUUGAAGUGAUUGACGAAUUUGACGAAUGUGACUCCAUUUCCCGCCAUAAACUGGAGUUCUACUGUCGGGCACUGGAGUUCUAUACUUCUAUUGUCGGGUAUUGUUAAUAACAUUUGGAGGAAUCUUUUGGCUCCGUCAGUAGGUGGCUAAAAUCAAGUUGUCCCCCAGCCGCCAGAUGACGCGAGUGUCUUUGAGAGGACGAAAUUUUCGCCAUUUUGUUCCGAAACGCCAAGUGAAAAGGUAUUCCAAAUUCGUUACGGAAUUGCGGUGUCGAUCUACAUUUUCAGCAUUUAAAUUUAAUGGCAAUCCGGCAUAUAAUUUCCAAUUGGCCAAAUAAUCGAUCACGUGGACUGAAACUGCUUUCCAUUUUGCCGAAAUGUCGACUGUCGUCGGUUGUUAGCUGUACCUGUUCAAGUGCACGUCUCAUCUCACGCAGAAACACUACAGAGUUGGUGUUCAGGUUGGAGAUCCCGUUGCUCAACUGUUGCAGAAUGUGAGAACUCAACAAAUUCUUAGCUCCAUGGCUGGCAUCAUGGCCAUAGUGGUUUUGUUGCAGCCAGCUGGUGAAAGGUGUGAUCGAGUCAAGUUGAGCUGCAGCUGCUGCAUGCAUUUUAUUGAGCUGGUGUUAUCCUGUGAAGUGUCAUUGCAGGAAGACUUUUUGAAAUGGACUUGGUGAUACUUAAAGCUAUGCCUAUGCUGUUCAAUGUACAGUGGUUUUGCAGCUUGUUUCCAGUUGAGAGAUGUCAUUAUGCAGCUGAUACAGGAUUGAAGAAAAAGAACUGAAGUAGCUGUGCUGGAGUUCUCCUGAAGUUGCUGUGCCACAGGAGUUGCAAAUAGUGUUUGGUUCUUCAUAUAAGUUUAUUUAAAGAGUAAGGAGAUGAUCAUCCACUUCUGACUAUAAUUUAUGUAAAACUUUAAAGUUGUAAGAAAUAUACCAGUCAAGUGCUAAA